CCUACGGGAGGCUGCAGUGGGGAAUAUUGGACAAUGGGCGAAAGCCUGAUCCAGCCAUGCCGCGUGUGUGAAGAAGGCCUUCGGGUUGUAAAGCACUUUCAGUGGGGAAGAAAGCCUUGGGGCUAAUACCCUCGAGGAAGGACAUCACCCACAGAAGAAGCACCGGCUAACUCCGUGCCAGCAGCCGCGGUAAUACGGAGGGUGCGAGCGUUAAUCGGAAUUACUGGGCGUAAAGCGCGCGUAGGCGGUCUGAUAAGCCGGUUGUGAAAGCCCCGGGCUCAACCUGGGAACGGCAUCCGGAACUGUCAGGCUAGAGUGCAGGAGAGGAAGGUAGAAUUCCCGGUGUAGCGGUGAAAUGCGUAGAGAUCGGGAGGAAUACCAGUGGCGAAGGCGGCCUUCUGGACUGACACUGACGCUGAGGUGCGAAAGCGUGGGUAGCAAACAGGAUUACAUACCCCGGUAGUC
rnacentral:rRNA from 1 species